UCAAAAUGAUGAUGAUUAAAUGUCUGAUCUGAAAUCAGUUAUGUGGAUUAAUCUUGCUGAAAAA